GAGACAGCAGUCGCCGCGGUAAUACGUAGGUGGCAAGCGUUGUCCGGAAUUAUUGGGCGUAAAGGGCUCGCAGGCGGUUUCUUAAGUCUGGUGUGAAAGCCCCCGGCUCAACCGGGGAGGGUCAUUGGAAACUGGGAAACUUGAGUGCAGAAGAGGAGAGUGGAAUUCCACGUGUAGCGGUGAAAUGCGUAGAGAUGUGGAGGAACACCAGUGGCGAAGGCGACUCUCUGGUCUGUAACUGACGCUGAGGAGCGAAAGCGUGGGGAGCGAACAGGAUUAGAGACCCCAGUAGUCCCUGUCUCUUAUAC
rnacentral:rRNA from 1 species